GAUGAACGCUGGCGGCGUGCUUAACACAUGCAAGUCGAACGGGAAAUAUUUCAUUGAGACUUCGGUGGAUUUGAUUUAUUUCUAGUGGCGGACGGGUGAGUAACGCGUGGGUAACCUGCCUUAUACAGGGGGAUAACAGUCAGAAAUGGCUGCUAAUACCGCAUAAGCGCACAGAGCUGCAUGGCUCAGUGUGAAAAACUCCGGUGGUAUAAGAUGGACCCGCGUUGGAUUAGCUAGUUGGUGGGGUAACGGCCCACCAAGGCGACGAUCCAUAGCCGGCCUGAGAGGGUGAACGGCCACAUUGGGACUGAGACACGGCCCAGACUCCUACGGGAAGCAGCAGUGGGGAAUAUUGCACAAUGGGGGAAACCCUGAUGCAGCGACGCCGCGUGAAGGAAGAAGUAUCUCGGUAUGUAAACUUCUAUCAGCAGGGAAGAUAGUGACGGUACCUGACGAAGAAGCCCCGGCUAACUACGUG
rnacentral:rRNA from 1 species